CUAUUUUCACUCACUGACAAUGAAAGCUGGUCUUGUCCUAUUGGUGUGUUUUCUAGUUACUGUUGCUAAGGCAGUCCAGGCCAAAGGUCUGAUCAGAGCUGCAGGAGGUUCUGUUCAGAACUCCUUUGAAAAGAGCUUUUUAAUCUCAAUGGAUUUUCCUGGUAUAUAAAGGUAAACAUCUUUCCUUCUUCAUGGAACGUAUAGCAGAGACCAGAGUUGGAGGGUUUUCUGGAACAGUUCAUAGGAAACAGUUUUCAAAGCAAAUAGUGAGAAAUAAGGGAAGUAGCUCUACUAUAAAACAGGGCAAAAAGUA